AGUGAACGCUGGCGGUAGGCCUAACACAUGCAAGUCGAACGGCAGCACAGUAAGAGCUUGCUCUUACGGGUGGCGAGUGGCGGACGGGUGAGGAAUACAUCGGAAUCUACUUUUUCGUGGGGGAUAACGUAGGGAAACUUACGCUAAUACCGCAUACGACCUACGGGUGAAAGCAGGGGAUCUUCGGACCUUGCGCGAUUGAAUGAGCCGAUGUCGGAUUAGCUAGUUGGCGGGGUAAAGGCCCACCAAGGCGGCGAUCCGUAGCUGGUCUGAGAGGAUGAUCGGCCACACUGGAACGGAGACACGGUCCAGGCGCCUAAGGGAGGCAGCAGUGGGGAAUAUUGGACAAUGGGCGCAAGCCUGAUACAGCCAUACCGCGUGUGUGAAGAAGGCCUUCGGGUUGUAAAGCCCUUUUGUUGGGAAAGAAAAGCAGCAGGUUAAUACCCCGCUGUUCUGACGGUACCGAAAGAAUAAGCACCGGCUAACUUCGUG
rnacentral:rRNA from 1 species